rfam:Triticum aestivum genome assembly, contig: Triticum_aestivum_CS42_TGACv1_scaffold_023416_1AS
GUGCUACUCCCUCCAUUCCAAAUUACUGAUCACAGAAAUGGAUGUAUCUAGGACUAAAAUACAUCUAGAUACAUCCAUACCUGUGACAAGUAAUUCAGAAUGGAGGGAGUACAUA